ACAUUUCCAUCAUUUUCCUUUCUCAGCCGAAAGGGCAAAAACCCAGGCCUUCUUCUGUCGCCUCACGCACUGCUGUAGACGGCCACCGAAAGGUCGAAAAUUUCCCCCUUUUGCUAGCGAAUCAAAAGAUACGACUCCUCUCCCUUCUACGAUAUAUUAUUUUGUAUUUCGUGAACUCAAAUGAAAAUGAAAAAACAGAAUAAAAUAAUUAUACACCACCUUGAAGUAUUCUUUUCACUGCUCUUGGAUUCUUUGUCUAUAUUUUGUAUUCCAAAAAAGAAUCUCCCCAACAAAUGAAAAUUCGUGGCCUUUUAUGGCCAACUUUACAACGGUUUCUUCGCUUCUACUAGUUGCAGGUAUGGUGAACGUGGGGCGUGGGUCAUGCUACACGCGAGUUGGCCAGACGUGCGAGGUGGAGAGCGUGGUGGCCGCAUUCGUGCGGCGCAUAGAGACCUAGGGUUUCCCGAAAACCCCAAAACUUUGGGCCUAUCAGGCCUUUAUUUUUGGACCCAAGUCUUUGUUUUUAGGAAUUGGACCUGUUAUAACUUAGGUUCGGACUAUUAUCUUUUGUCUAUUGUAUGUAUAUGGGCCCGGGCCAAAAUUAGGUCUUACAAUUUAUAUCAUAUUUUCUCCAUCACACACACCGAAAUAAAGAAUGAAAGAGUUGGAGUAUAAAUAAAGAAAUAAUGAAAAGAAGUUUCUGGCUCCACCGAACCAAAUUAGUAGUGGAACAUAUUUUUUUAGUUUAGAAAAUUUGGCAACAAGCAGUCUGCUUCAUUAUAAUUCUUUGUUCGGUGGAGUACUGUGAUAACAAAAAUAAAAAUAAAAAAUCAAAGGUUUCAAGAUGAAGAACUUUUAAGAGAAAAAAAAAAUAAUAAAAAAAUUAAGUACUCACUUGGAGGUAAAA
rnacentral:lncRNA from 1 species